AAUAGGGGUUGGCUGGAUCCGGCCCUGGUUCAGACCCAGAACUGCUGGACCCGUUCAGGGCAGGAAACACCUGGAUGUUCAAACAGAACAUCCUAGAAAUCCAGGUGGAGGUCAUCAGAUGAUGGAGGAGGACCUGGCUGCUCUGAUGGUGCAGCAAAGCGCCGAAAUAAUAAACUCCCAAAGGUCCAUGGGCUUCAGGAGCGAGAGCAACACUGCUGUCAUGUAUGAUCACGUAUUGAUGAAAAAAGUUUUCACAAAUGGAAAUGGGACCAAAAAAAAGACCUUUGAAAAAAAGGACACUUUGGCCAUCUGACCAAAAGGGGUGGUUGCUGGAGCCCCCCCACCCCCACCCGUGCACGUGCCUGGUGCUGACUUCUUCUCAGCUGCUUCAAACUGCUAGAAAUUCUGUCCAAAGAGAACAGAUUACGAGCAGAACCAGUGAUAAAGUGCAGCCCUGCCAGAGUCCAACAUGCAUUGGGAACAGGUCCAACUUACUGCCGGCUAUGGAACCAAGCUCAAGCUCAUACUCCCAGAGCACCCUCCACAGGACACCACGGGAGAUCCGCUCGAACGCCUUCUCCAAAUCCAAAAAUACAUAUGGACUGGAUGAGUGAACUCCCACGAACCCUCCAGCACCUUAAAGAGGGUGUAGAGCUGUCUCUUUGAGGAAGUCCUCAGCUUGCUCAAAAGGGGGGAUGUCAGCAGAGUUGAGGAAAUCCUUGAAUUAUUCCUUCCACCGCCUGACAAUGUCCCCAGUUGAAGUCAACAACUCCCCACCUGCACCAAAAACAGUCCCAGUAGAAAACUGCUUUCCCCUCCUGAGGCACAGGAUGGUUUGCCAUAUUAUCUUCAAGGCCAACCCAUAAUCCUCCUCCGUGUCCCCACCGAACUCCUACUGGGACAGAGUUUUUGUCUCCACAACCCCCUGGGCCUCAGCCCACCUAAACUGCUGGUAUACCUAUCAGCUGCCUCAGGAGUCCCACGAGCCAGCCAGGCUUGGUAGGAGUCCUUCUUCAGCUUGACGGUAUCCAUUAUUUUCAGUGUCCACUAUCAGGUUCCGGGGUUACCACCUCGACAGGAACCAGAGACCUUGCAACCACAGCAGAGACAAUGAAUGUGGAGAACAUGGUCCACACAGACUCAGUGUCCCCAGCCUCCCUCAGUGAGAAAUUGAGCCAAAUGGUUUUAAAGUGUCGGGUUCCUGGUUGCCCUCUCCACGCCCCUGGUUUCCUGCUCACCUGCAUCCUAUCAUCUCAUCAGCCUGGAGCCUUCAUCUACCCACCAUGACCUUCAGUCGCCGUCAGUCCGUCUGCUUCAUGUGAAGUCACCACCAUCCAUGGCUCCACGAUAACCGGUCCAGACUCCUGAUCACCACCAUCCGCUGCUCCACGCAAACCCACCCGGACUCCAGAGUACCACCAUCCGCCAUACCACAUUAAACCUUUUCAAACACA